rnacentral:rRNA from 1 species
ACGGAAGGCAGCAGUCGGGAAUAUUGCGCAAUGGAGGGAACUCUGACGCAGUGACGCCGCGUAUAGGAAGAAGGUUUUCGGAUUGUAAACUAUUGUCGUUAGGGAAGAGAAAGGACAGUACCUAAGGAGGAAGCUCCGGCUAACUACGUGCCAGCAGCCGCGGUAAUACGUAGGGAGCGAGUGUUAUCCGGAAUUAUUGGGUGUAAAGGGUGCGCAGGCGGGAGAACAAGUUAGUUGUGAAGUACCUCGGCUCAACUGAGGAACUGCAACUAAAACUGUACUUCUUGAGUGCAGGAGAGGUAAGUGGAAUUCCUAGUGUAGCGGUGAAAUGCGUAGAUAUUAGGAGGAACACCAGUGGCGAAGGCGACUUACUGGACUGUAACUGACGUUGAGGCACGAAAGUGUGGGGAGCAAACAGAAUUAGAUACCCUGGUA